rnacentral:rRNA from 1 species
UCAAUAGCGUAUAUUAAAGUUGUUGCAGUUAAAAGCUCGUAGUUGAAGUUCGAGAUUCGUCCGUUGGUCGGGCUUAACUGUCCGUACUAACGUGACGGAUUUCUACCUUCUAAAGAACCUUUAUGCCAUUUAGUUGGUGUGUUGGGGAAUUAGGACUGUUACUUUGAAAAAAUUAGAGUGUUUAAAGCAGGCUAUUGUCUGAAUAUAUUAGCAUGGAAUAAUGAAAUAGGACGGUUUGGUUCUAUUUUGUUGGUUUCUAGGAUCACCGUAAUGAUUAAUAGGGAUAGUUGGGGGCAUUAGUAUUCAAUUGUCAGAGGUGAAAUUCUUGGAUUUAUUGAAGACUAACUUCUGCGAAAGCAUUUGCCAAGGAUGUUUUCAUUAAUCAAGAACGAAAGUUAGGGGAUCGAAGACGAUCAGAUACCGUCGUAGUCUUAACCAUAAACUAUGCCGACUAGGGAUCGGAUGAUGUUAAUUUUUAAUGACUCAUUCGGCGCCUUACGGGAAA